AGACUCUGAAGGAAAAGAAGAGAGAUGCUUUUGAAAGAUUACUCAUUAAUGCUCGCCUGACCGUUGUGCCUCUAGCCCAGGAGUCAAUAAGAAGGAAAACAUCCGUGGCAUCACCCUGUGCUUCCGGCUGGAAUAAAACACAAGGAGUAACAACACGACUUGUUCACGAGAAGCACAGUGAAGAAAUCCAGGCUUUCUGCAGGAUUUGCAGUGGCUUUCCCACUGCAACAGCCCUAGCUCCACGUGUGUCUCCUAGAGGGACCUCAAGGCAUUCCCACACCCCAUAAGUAGCAGCUCGAAGGGGCAGGGAAUAUACUGGAAGCAAAUUCUUCCCUUUUUUCCUCCCAGACAUUUCCAUGGGCUCUACAAGGAGGUCAACAAACUGGCCAUAGUGGCAAACUGUCAGAAGAGAACAAGAAGAAACAUGUAAAACUGCUUUAAAGGAAUUUUUCCAGCCAGGUUUUUGCACAAUAACAAUGAGAGCCCCUACAAUUGCAGGGCAGUCACAGCUGCCAACCUGCGAGGUCUCGCUGGGGGGGUGGUUGUGGAGGUGAGGCUUCCCUAGGGUCUUGCCUGCAGUUGGGACUCAUGCGACCACUGGCAAUGUAAAGGGGAAACCCUUCACCAAAGGCUGAAGCUCACCCAGCCAUGGGUAAGAUUAAGAUUUUGGGAUGAGGCAUCUGUUUUUUUUUGGAAGAUUUUUCUUGGAAAGGGAAUGACCCUUACACCGCUCGUGGGGAUCAGUCCCCAGGGGCUUGGCGCUUUGCUUAUGGCACAUGAAACCCUUCUGAGCAGAUGUAAACCAAGCAAAUUCCAGCCGUGGCCACCAAGAGUGCACAAGCCACCACCACAGCAAUGGCACAGGUCUGCCAGCAAGUCACCUCCUCCGUCCAAACAGCCGGUGGAAUCUAUUUGCUUACCCACCUACAUCAGACUAAUUCAUAUUCUUUCUCCCCCGUGUGUCUGAAAUGCAUAUCCCCUUGUAGGGACAGUCUUUGCAAUGCAGAAAUACAAAAGACUUGAACAUGAAAUCAUCACGAGAUAAAAAUUCUCUUUAAGGCAAAGGACAAAAAACGAGGAGUGCUUGUUGCAUUGUUGUGAAAAACAUCUGUUCCCUCGAUAAUUGGUUGCAUGCAACAGUAUUUACAUAGUUGAAGGGCUAGAAUAAAACUACUACUUUACAUAUAUGGAAGGGGAGAAGGGGAACAGAGGUUAGGGCAGGUUAGAUUGAGAAAUCAGCUCUUCCUUUAGGCCUGCACAAGUGAACGCAACUCAAGUUUUGCUGCUCUAGCUACCUGCAGGAAAGUGAUGUGUGGCUGUCUACAUGCGCAUUGUGUGAACCUUCGGUACAACUUCUGCCCUUGGGCAAACAUGUGCAAGAUGGAGACCCAGCAGAUCCUCACGUGAGCCGUUUCUGAUGGGGUUGUUUGCCAGGAUGGACUGGCUGAAGCAAGGACACAAUCUGGGUUCUGCUAUAUUUGACGUGAGAGCUUGAACUCACCAAGAUGGUCAUUACAUUAAGAGAUGCCCUCUCACUCCAUUAACCAGAAAGUCUGUCUUUUGGAAGGAGAAAGCCUUUUCUGGCGAAACCUUUGUUUGAAUCAGCACAUUACUAUGAAAAUACUUUACUUUCAGCAAAUGAGCAUUUUAUGACCAAGGAAUCCACAAAGAAAGAGGCAGUUGGACCUUUUCUGACCAGUUCUGACUGUUAGGUACCAAGCUUGAUAGAAAUAUUUUUCUCUGCUGUGUCAGACCCCAUUUGAGAAGAUGCCAAAUUCCAGCUUUCCAAGGGGAACCAAAAUGUCUUUCUCUGAUAAACUUUGUGUCCUGGGCUGAUCACUUCAGCACACACCACCGAGGCACAGCAGUGCCACGUUCUGGCACCCACAGCAAGCAUGAACACAAUGGCUUUAAACCCAGCUGGAAGGAUCCCUUCACUAAGUCCUUCUUGGAUGGGCCAGCUCAGUCAACGCUUGCUCCCGAGAACUGGGAAAAAGUGGGAGAAAGGGUGGGAAGUUGUUUCCUGGCUGUGGUCAGGAAUGCCCCCCGACAGGCCACAUCUGAAGGCACCGAGCCAUGGCGAUGCCUCUUCUCAAAGUUCUUCUUUUCCACGUCAGGCACCCUUAAGAGCAAAAGAUCAUUCACUUCACUUGCUCAGUUUUCAGCACAUAACAGAGCUCUUUCCCUGGGUGAUUUCCUGAAGUAGCCAGAAACUUUCAGCUUGUUUCCUAUUUUAAUCUGAGGUGCUGAUUUUGUGCUCUCGUGUCUUGGUCUUGAAAGGAAACCCUAACCAUCGGGGAUGGACGGGUCCAAGAGUUCCACCCGACAUGGAUUCGGGAUGAGAGCAAGGCAGAUCUGGGGACUAAGACUGUAGAACCAAACAAGGACUGGUCUUGUCUCAAAGCAGUGGCUCAACACAUCUUCCUGGGAUUCUUCCCACCACCCCUUGCGUGGCUGCACACGACGUAUCUCUAUUCACAUCAGCUUUUCCAACCAUCUGGAAAAAUGUCAGAAAUGCUACUCAGUCUCUCCUUCCCAUUUUGGGGGAGAAAGCAGGUUUUCUGACAUCUCUGCAGAGAAACUGUCAGGGACCGACGGCCGAGUGGGGAAGGUACCUUGGGAUUUAUUAUGGUGUACAUGGUAUUUUGGCAAAUUCUUCAACACGAGCUUGGCAAAAAGUCUCAUUAAAAGACGUCUGAGCGUUUUAACAAAAUAAAUAUUCAUCGCUUGCUGUGACUUGUUAUAGCCAAUGAUUCUUGGACAGGGUCGCCUUCUUUCAAAUCUCUCAUCUCUUCCAUAGCAUGUACAAAACAAGUUUCAGGAGAACAGGCAGUUCGUUGAGUUUUUAAUUCCUCCUUUGAGCUACUCAUAGCUUGGAGAGCUUCCAGAGGCCACUGAGUCACAGCCUUCCAGUACUGAAAUAUGCAGCCUGUGAGGAUCAAGUUUAGCCUCGAGCCCUUUGCUUUCUUCUGCAAAAAUACUGGCUGAGAGAGUAGCUUAAGAUUCAUUUUUUCCCUGAAAGCAACGGGGACAUCUCAGCCUUGAUGCACCAGCAAAGAUGAAGCCAUCACGGCCAUGCUAGCAGGCGAUGAAGCGGCACGGGAGACGUGGCAAGCCCAGGAACGCUCGGCGAUGCGAGGGGUAAUGGAAGCAGCACAAAAGCUUUUAUCCACUCCCCCUUUCUCCCCUCUCGUCCCAGCUGCACAGCAAUUAAUCCGAUCAGCCGAUGCAGCGGAAGGCAUCAAACGCAGGGCAGGGCAGGGCUAGGAGACAGCAGCGCUGGCUGUAGUUCGUGCCCAUUUAAUGACCGAGGAGCUGCUUUGCCAGCGUCCCCGGCGCCAUGGGCACCCCGGGGAAAGCCUGAGAGCAACGAGGUUGUGCCCACUCUCUUUGCCCUUUGCAGCACCCAUCACUGCAGCAGCGAUAGGAGCAGCGGUUGUCCCCGUCCCCACACGCUGUCCCCGUCCCCACACGCUGUCCCCGUCCCCACACGCUGUCCACAUCACCUGCACCGGGAGGAACGCGGUGUUUUGUGCAAGGUGAGGGAGGGAAGUGCUGGCAUCACCUCAUGUGGUGACAGUAGUUUGGGAGAUGCGGUUUAUGCCCCAAAUUCUCCUCUUCCCCAUGGCGCAGAGAAGAUGUAAUGCCAUAACUACAGGUGUCAUUUGCUUCUGUGUUGUUUUCUUUGUUUUACUGUUAAUUUCUUUUGCUCUGCUGCAUCGCACAGGACAGACAGGGGCAGAAAGUAGGUGCAGAGUGACCAACGUGAAGAUAAACACAUUCUUCUCAAGACCUGUUUUGCUUCCAUGUAAACAGAAAAGACAGGUUUUUUGUCUCAAAGUCAAAGUAUAAAGUUCUACUAGUCCCCCACAGACAAGCCUAGUCCACAAAGACCUUGUGGGAGAUGCUGAAGCACUUUGGACCAAAGUCCAGCUGCACUGCCAGUCUGAUCAGAAGUGUCCACCCCUCUUAGUGAGUCAGAAACCACAGACAUGGAAAAGCGAAACAGAUGAAACGAAAUUACCAGCAGCGGAGACUUGGCAAAGACAGGGAGGAGAAGCUACAGCUCCUACUAUACCUGAGAAAGCAGAAGCCAACUGGAUUUGCCCAAACAGUAAUAUUCUAGGAGAAAAAAUCAAGUCUGAGGGCUAUCCCGGAACAUGUCCUGCAGUUGCUCAGCUGAAAGGCUUUGAAGCAAAGAACCCCAUACUGCAAGGGACGGUGUCCACCAAGGCAUCAAGGACAGUUCAGAGAGGCUGAUCAGCCUCGACUUCAGAAGCGGUUGCGCUGGACCAGGGCUGAGGCAGGUUUGUGCAGAAGCAUGAGGAGCACAGGCUGCAGCCUGCAACCCUGGAAGUGUCCUGUGGCUCAUGGGCUCUGCAAAGCCCAUAAACCCACUGACCCUCAAGAUCUACUUUGAAAAAGGUGUAAAUGUAAGUAGCCAAGACCUGCAGGCUCCAUAGAUACAUCCAUAAAAGGCCCACAAAGAGGGCUGAAAAGAGGAUCCACCCCAGCAUUACGACCUAGUCUCCUGCAUGCAGAUGCGAUGGGCACACGUCUUCCACAGGAACAUCUUCUUCCUUCUUAGAGAAGCAGCGUCAAGUAUUUUUCCUGUGUUCCUGCUCGAAACCCAGAGUCAGAACAGAUACCAAUAAAAAACAAGACGUGGCUGCUUCCUGCCCCUCAGGAUUUUUAAAUCUUACUGGGGAGAUGCGUUUUGCUGUCCAAAACCCAUUCUGGUCCUGGGUAGGAUGAAGGGGAGAUCAGCAUGGAGGGCACUGAAGAAGCUGGACACCUCCAGUUGGGCUGGAACUGCAUUCCUGCUCCUGGGGAGGGAUCAGCAGGCUGCCGAAAGAGAACUCAGCAAGCAGGCCUUAUAAAACUAUACCUAAAAGGGAAAAAUUAACAGCGGUUACCCUUAGCACACCCAGCAAAUGAGCAAGAGAGAUGGAGGUUCACUUUCAACAAGCCAAACUGCUGUUGGGCAAAAAAGUUACCCUCAGGAGUUCCUGUGGUUCACAAGGUCCAAAUCAAUUGGCCACAUAAUGAGGCGAAAACCUAAAUAACUCUUUAACUCUUCCAUCUUCCUAAAAAUACUUAUUUUGGUACUGAGAAGAUAAAGGAAUCCAUAUUUCAAAAUGAAAAAGGAUACUCAAGAACUACACUGAACCUGAAAACAUGCAAGACGAAUCUUCCCUUUAAAUUAUACAACCUCACAAUCCUGAACCGAAAGAGGGGAACCGCUUCCACUUUUAUGUGUCAUCUAUCUUUAGUCCUCCAGAACGCAAAGAGAUGCAAAGACUGCGGUAUUAAAGAAACGAGGCUCGAAAUAAUUUAUACUGUAGAAUUCCCACUGUCCCCCCGACCAGUUAUAAAUAUUGAUGGGGUGUUUAAGGCAGCCAAUCACACAAAUAUUUAAUAUUCAUAGAUACCACACAGGGAAUUCAACAUACACUUCUUGCAGGCUCUUCUUUAUGUAAUGUUCAAGCGCGUUACCUCUGUGGACAGAGACGCGAUUUUAUGCACAGCAGCUGAUGCAAAACUCUUCCUUCUCGGAGGCUCCUCACGCUCCAGAUUACAUUGGUAAUGGCAGCGCCAGAGAAACAGCUUUAUUAUUGAUUCUUACGUGUAAAUCGGGAAGAAAACAGAUGUCACGAAUCGUUAUCGGUAAGGAGCUAGGCUGUGUCACAGUGAAGCCAGCUGCUGGUGGCAUGUCAUGCCGCAGAACAGCUGCCAGGGACUGCCACAGGAUCACAGAGUCAUAGAAUGUCCUCAGGUGGAAGGACCCACAAGGAUCAUGGAGUCCAACUGCUGUCCCUACACAGGACACCCCACAGGUCACACCGUGUGUCUGAGGACGUUGUCCUGUCUCUUCUUGAACACUGUCAGGCUGGGGUGGUGACACCUCCCUGGGGAGCAGGACCUUGUGGGUCACUUCCAACUCAAGACACUCUGUGAUGCUGUGAUUGCCACCAUUGUCUUCAGCUGAAUCAGGAUCAGUCAAGGCUGAAGAAUGGAAGAAUGGGAAGAACAAGGAGUGAGCGGAACAUGAUGUAAAAACACCAGUAAUGGCACCCCAAACACACAGUCAGUGAACAAGGGACAGCAAGGUGCCGCUGUGCCUCCCACGGAAACAUUCCAGAGGUCAGUCAGAAGCACGGAAAGAAAAAUAGCAAAUGCAAAAUACUUGCAUAUGUGCUAAAACAAACAUAAAGGAACUUUCUAUUCAAGUGCCUUGGCUGCAGUACUCCACAUGUGCAAAUAAGUUUCACAUUCAGCCCCCCUUGCCCACGUUGUCUUUAAGUAUGUGUGUGCGUGUUCCUGAUAUCACCAGAGCUGCGCGUGUGUCUGAAGAAAAGUGAAUCACUUGGUGACCACUUUUGAAUUUUACACUUCCCCACGUCAGCAUUACUGAAGAUGGUACCGGCAGGCUGUCCAACCCGCCCGUGCUCAGCUCGAGCGCUCGCAGCCAGAACACGGCUCCGGCAAACAUGUUCCGCUCCCUCCCCAGCGCUGCAACACAAGUCUGCACAAUGCAGGUUCACCAGGAAAGAAGGCACGCUCAAGGUGGCGGGUCGGCUGUUUAUAUGUCCUAAGGAGGGCCUUACCGCAGAGAAAUCAUCUUCAGUCGCUGGCCCACGGCUUGCUCCAGCCCUGUGAAGGUACACCAUUCGUUCUUCCUGGAAAAAUUUGCUCAUAUAAACAGAUCUUUCCCAUGAUAUGCGGGAAAUUUCAGUGAGAAAGCCCUACAGGCUACAUUCUUAGGAGAAAUAACAAAACUGGGCUUCCCCAGUGGUGAGCUGAUUCAUCUCUCCAACUUCUUUGCUCCCACCAACUGCUUUUUCUAGAGGCACUUCAAGAGCCGUCACUACAAGCUGCUUUGGUGCAGAGAAGGGCAUAUUUAGAAGAGCUGACUUGAACUGCACUGUCACCACAAGGAGUGCAAGGUCCUGUUCUGACACGGGACCACCCCACGCAUCCGUCUGGCUGAGCAACAGACCUUUCUGAAAAGAUCCUGGUGGUUAUGGUGGAUCCACCACGGGAUACAAGGCAGGAGGGCAAAGGUGGCAAAUCACAGCAUGUCAUGGCCUUGAGCAACACCAUCUUGACUUCAUGGCUGGAUCUAACACCAAACCUUGAGUGGGGGUAGGACCACAACGCCUCCAGUGGUCCCCUCCAACCUGAAUGACCGUGACUUUGCUGAGGGAGCUGGGGGUUCAGCUGGAGAACAGGAGCUGAGGGGAGACCUUCUGAUCUCUGACCUGCCUGAAAGGAGCUUGGAGCCAGGGGGGUCGGGCUCUGCUCCCCAGGAACAAGCGCCAGGAGCAGAGGAAAUGGCCUCAAGUUGCGCCAGGGGAGGUUGAGGUUGGAUCUGGGGAACAAUUUAUUCCCCAAAGGGCUGUGGGGCAUUGGAACAGGCUGCCCAGGGCAGUGCUGGAGUCACCAUCCCUGGAGGGUUGGACAGAUGGAGAUGAGGUUCUCGGGGACAUGGAGUAGUGCCGGGGUGGGUUACGGUUGGACUCAAUGAUCUUAAGGGUCUCUUCCAACCAAAAUGAUGCUACGAUUCUAUGAGUCUAAUUCGUAGAGGCAAGCAAUGGAACAGGAGGCUGAGCCUUGGGAAGUUCAGACUGCAGAUGAAGAAACACUUCUCCCAGCAGAGCUGCAGCCCUGGGACAGGUCACCAGUGACUUGGGGCAUCUCCAUCCCAUUUGUUUUUAAAACUCCAGCUAGAAAAGGCACAGCUGCCUUGACCUCAUGUUAGCGGGAGCUGGAGAAGAGAUCUUCAGAGGUCCUGGCCACGCUGCCACACUAUUCACCAUAGCUUAUUACAUUUAAUCGCAUGUUUACGGUGUCAGAGAGGGAACCCCGACCGAACAAGGAAGACCAGAACCAGAAGUCUCCCAGGUCUGAACCUAAACAUGCUUUAGCACACUGAACUUGGUAAUACUUCAUCAUUAUGUAUUAGGCAGUAGCUGAUUAUGGAAAUCCUUCCUUAUUCUGCGACGGUGAGUCACAACGCUUUGGAGGUCACCACAAAGGUGGGCAGGUUUUCACCCCCACUUCACAGAAGUAGUUAAAUCUGGUCAUCAUCACCAUCUGAGCAAAUAACAGCAUCGGGAAGUGUUUUCAGCUCCUAACGAACUUGAUGAAACUCAAACGCUAGCGGUUUUUCUCGAGCUGAUCUAUGCCAACACGCUCUUGGUGUAUGAAAUACAUUUAAUAAAUAAAACAUACACUUACUCGACUGCCAUCUCCCAGAAACAGAUGAGAAGUGUCUGCCUUGUGGGAUGUUCUCCAAGCCUUACUGAGCAGCCGUAUUAUGUGCAGCCAUUUCAAGGAUUUUCCGUGAUUAUAAAAGCACACUGGCUGCCUUCGAAUUAGACUGAACCGCCUCAAUUAUACAACUCAUUACUACUCCCAAGCACGCUUAGUGGAAACAACAGGAGUUGUAAAGUAAUGGAUGACGGGAGAUAAAUUGGCAUGUGUAUGAAUCAAUGUUUAAACAAAGGAACUCCAGCUCUUUCUUGGAAUAGCAACAUUUUGAUGUCUCAAAUCCCCCGACGCUGCUUUCAUAAACGCAGUAACGUAAACCAUGUGCUGGGUGGUGAUUUUCUGAGGACAUUCCCGCUUUCAUUGUGUAUUUUAUUACAGGCCAAAUGUGACAUUAAAUGCUAUCCGCUGCGGCUUGGAGUUAAAUACUUGCUCUGUUCAGAAUAGCAACACUCAAUUAAACAGCAUUUUUCAUGAUCUACACCCUCUAUUGUCACUGUGUUUAAGGGAAAUAAUGGGAGCACUGACCUAUA